UACAGAGGGUGCAAGCGUUAAUCGGAAUUACUGGGCGUAAAGCGUGCGUAGGCGGUUACAUAAGUCAGAUGUGAAAGCCCCGGGCUCAACCUGGGAAUUGCAUUUGAGACUGUGUAGCUAGGGUGCGGAAGAGGGAAGCGGAAUUUCCGGUGUAGCGGUGAAAUGCGCAGAUAUCAGGGGGAACACCGAUGGCGAAGGCAGGUCUCUGGGCCGAUACUGACGCUGAGGAGCGAAAGCGUGGGGAGCGAACAGG
rnacentral:rRNA from 1 species